GCUUAACACAUGCAAGUCGAGCGGUAAGGCCCUUCGGGGUACACGAGCGGCGAACGGGUGAGUAACACGUGGGUGAUCUGCCUCGCACUUCGGGAUAAGCCUGGGAAACUGGGUCUAAUACCGGAUAUGACCUUUCAGUGCAUGCUGUUUGGUGGAAAGAUUUAUCGGUGCGAGAUGGGCCCGCGGCCUAUCAGCUUGUUGGCGGGGUAACGGCCCACCAAGGCGACGACGGGUAGCCGACCUGAGAGGGUGACCGGCCACACUGGGACUGAGACACGGCCCAGACUCCUACGGGAGGCAGCAGUGGGGAAUAUUGCACAAUGGGCGAAAGCCUGAUGCAGCGACGCCGCGUGAGGGAUGACGGCCUUCGGGUUGUAAACCUCUUUCGACAGGGACGAAGCGAAAGUGACGGUACCUGUAGAAGAAGCACCGGCCAACUACGUGCCAGCAGCCGCGGUAAUACGUAGGGUGCGAGCGUUGUCCGGAAUUACUGGGCGUAAAGAGCUUGUAGGCGGUUUGUCGCGUCGUCCGUGAAAACUUGGGGCUCAACCCCAAGCUUGCGGGCGAUACGGGCAGACUUGAGUACUUCAGGGGAGACUGGAAUUC
rnacentral:rRNA from 1 species